rnacentral:lncRNA from 1 species
AGAUGCUUACAGCCAACCAUUGGACUGAUCACUGAGUCCCCAAUAUAGAGGAGAAAAGACAGAAGGAGCUGAAGGGGUUGGCAAACUCAUAGAACAUUUGACUAAGGAGCCCUGGAUUACAUGUAAACUGCCUAGCUGUCCUGAAGCCCCUGUGCUAGACAAAUCAUCUGUGGAAAAGGACAGAGAUAGAGAGGGAUGCCCGCGAAUGGCCAACAGCUUCUGCUAGAGGCUAGGGUUGCCUAGUCUUGGUGAGGAGUGAAACCUUCAAAAAGUUCCAGGUGAUUCAAGGAAGAACAGUGACCUGAACCCUAAUUGGAAUGCAAAUUUGUCAGCUUUUUCAGACAUGGCUUUACGUUGGCCUGCUUGACCUCAAACUUGUUUUGAAGCUGGGAUUAACUUGAUGUUGAACUCCUAUCCUAAUCCCUCUGCACCUGGCACAGUGUUAUGCUUUUUGUCAUUGUUGUUUUCACAUUAUAAUUUAAUUAC